rnacentral:lncRNA from 1 species
AUCAUGAGAGCAGAAAUCUCUUAAACAUGCUGGAAGAGGCAAUUAGUUUCUUCAUCUGUUUUUAAAAAGUGAAGCAAGUCUAGCAAGGUGCAGUACGGAAGUGCAGCGUUGUACGCAACUCCACAGGAAGCAAGAUUGAAGCUACUGGGGAAGUUCAGAACUGGGUGACCUCCAACGGAUGCAAAUAGCGCAGAUUUCUAUUGAGGAAUUCGGUCUUAACUUUUGUGUGUUGGAGUUUCUUGGCUUGGGAAUUUUCUGUAUCAGGAAUGAAACGGAACCAGUUUCUCUCCACUUGGAGCUCUCAAGGAAUGUGCAACCUGGGAAAUGUUAUUGCAAGAUAAUUAACUUGAGCACAUUUAUUCUGGGCUGAGCUCGCCAGGUCUUGUAUUCCGUCCAGGCAUCUCUCCUGCUGGUUGAGAGAUGUGUGUUUAUAUUGCUGAGAACCUUCAAAGAUAAUUAUGGAAACUGUAGCAACCCACCUAAAAGCUUCCUGAGCCUUAAUACAAAAUGCAUGGCAGGCCAAGCCUCAGAGGGCAGAGGCCCUCUUCCAAGCGGGCAAGAAGGGACGUUCAGAGUGGCUCUGAUUGCUUGUGCAAAUGGGCGCUUUGCCGUCCCACUCCCUGCAUGUGCAGAUGCCCAGGGUACAUUGCCUGACUACACAUGCUUCAGGGUUUUCAAGCUUUAAAACUGAUGUUCAUUUUAAUAACUGUAAGCUAGUUACUACAUAAAUUACGUAUGAGAGUUUCAUUUUGUAGCUAUUCUCAAAAGAGGAUCUAUGUUAAAACACCAUUCAAAGUAAAUAAAGAAACAA